CUCCUCUAAAUUAUCGUUCCAAAUGUGUAUACGAAAUGAGCGGCGCUAUCAAAUAAUUCAAUGAACUGGCUCAUUACGGGGCUACGGGGAUAAGAAGACAUGUAAGAAGUCUGAAAAAAAGUGUGGAUACACUCUUGCUUGGUUACGCACGCCCGGAGAUUAUUCGAUGCGUGACAUUGCUCGUUUAAAGCGUCGAGCGAAACGACUCGGUAUAUAUCUGACUGUAUAGCAAGACAGAAUAGAUCGUUUGUGAGGCUAAACAGAAUAAGAAGCGUGCCCCGUUCUCGUAGUGACGUUUUUAUCAUUAGAACCGACGCGAGCGCCACCGUCGUCGAGCGGGAGAAGCACGUGCCGUAAAAUCAACAGACCGGCCGUUACGCUCGCGAUAAGACACGGAACGCGUCACGGCUACUUGCCGAUUAAUAAUUAACAAGGUACUGCGUCCAUUGUGCAAUUAUUAUUCCACUGUUAAAUGCGUGUAUCUGCAUACCAAUCUCCCGUCGAGUUAUUAGUUUCUACGAUGGUGACAACUCGGUGUUUUCUAACACGCUCGCCAAAUCUACACAGGAUCUAACAAGAUCGGCCAUCUUGAAACGCGUGCCGUCCUAGCUAGAUAUCAUUUCUCCAAGGAAUCGAAUCACCAUGUAAUUUCGCAUUACAUAAAUUCGUCACUCGCAGACGGUACUGGAUUAGAAGGUGGAACAUCGUGUAGUGUAUGGAAGAACGUCUCUCUCUCUCUCAUUCUCUCUCUGUGUCUGGCGUACUGCGAGAAUACGAAACAGCCAGCAACAACCGGAGAGCAACGAGCGACAGGCAGCACGUGCGCGGCAACAGGAGGAUGGUAAAUGGUAAAUGGGAAAUUGUAAAUGGUAGGCCACUAGUGCUCUGAACGUGAAUGAAUGGAACCUGCUUCGCCACUUGCAUACCCAUUAUAGGAGCUCACUGUGUGCAGAUGUAGUACGAGUUUGUGGACAGGUUUUGGUAAAUAUAUCUAUUGGUCCUAUGUACGUGCGUAUUGUUUUUAUUGACUGUACGAACAGCCCGGCACGAGAGUGAUACGAGAUAUAUUUUUAUACGAUCAAAGGACCGGAUAGAUCCGGUGAUUUUGAAUUAUGCUAACGCCAGGACCUCGAUCAAACGUUCGUCACGAGUAAUGUCUAGGAGCGUCAAAAGACUGCGGUAUUGGGUAAUCGUGUGUUGUACGAUUUUAAUUGCACCUCUUACGCGGCGGACCGAUGGAUUAUAAAUUAGCGUCAGCGACGGACGAGAAAGGUCGAUAAGCUCGUUAACUUUCGAUGAGAACGCGGCACACGAAAUAUUAUUAUACAUGGUUCACCUCCCAAUAAGAUUGAAACGUUAAUACCAGUAGGUAAUGGAUUCUGGUCGGUGAUAUUUUCAGAGAGAGAAUUCACGUGUCAACUUAUAGACAUCUUGGGCAUGUAUAUCUCAGACGCGUGAUAAGGCUUCACGCGGAACUUCGGCGCUAUACGAAGAAACCAGUUUGAAUUCACUGAGCCAUUAUGAACUCGGCUUGAAUCACCUCUCGGCUAAUCGAGUUCAUUCGGCACGCACUGUGUCUACACCUUGGACAUUUAGGUAGAAUGGAUUUUAAGGGUCACCCUGUAUGGACAGUGGACCCUAUGGGGUUCGUAUGGGUCUUACACGGUCGGGAUAUGACCACGGGAAAUGUCCGGUCUGUAGACCAUCGGCGGUCACCCAUCCUAAGGGUCAUCCUUGGCUCUCACUUAGCAUAAAAGGGGUAACUAGCAAAUGCCCAAUGCGUAAACCAUAAUGGAACGAAUGUCCCAUGGAUAUAAUUAGGGCUGCUCAUGGGAAAUUCGAACCCCAUCGGCUAGACUCGCCACGCAGACUACGAGAUUGACUACUACAGUUCCACGUCUUCACUUAUCCCACCUAAUUAACAUGCCACUGACAACGGCCAUUCGAUUGUCCAAGUUACUACCUGAUCGUGAUCAGGAUUGGUCCUCCGUAAACGAGGCUGAGUUUACCAAUAAAUGGAAAAAGAUUUGAGAUUCGAGAAGCCUUCGCCAUAGGGUGACCCAUGACGCUUUACACCAAUAGCCUUACAGACGGCAGGAGCCAAGUGCGUAAAGGUCCUAUCGAAGAGACACGUGGUGGACUUUUAUAGUUAUACCGGGAGGCGAAGAAAAAAACAUUUAAAAUCGACUCUAAGGAGUCGAGGAAUUCCCAUUCAUGGCUUCGUUAGAAUUAUGGAGCUUUCCGUUUUAUCGAUUACAUGAAAUUUCACGUUCGUCACGAGUACCUUGACGCUAUUGAGAAUAGCCGUAACGAGUGACGAGGAAGACAUAAAUAAUUUUCAAAAUUAACCUUAUCACGGUAAAGCACCGUAUCACAGGGAUACGAACGAUUUCCUCAAAAAUACCAGAACGUCUUUAAGCGAUCGAAACGAAAUAGCCGAAGAAUCAUGGUCUUGAUUGGUUUCCUCGAAAUAUGCAAAGUGCUCGUAAGCCGUUUACGGUUAAACGGCCGAUUCCGAAGAUUUGCCAUACCGAUAUGUGAGCCUUCGUUAUUGCCGUGCGUUCGCGACGGGAAGUCAAUUAAUUUACGAAUAAACGUCGAUUAAACUCCGUGGUCGGAGUAUGCCAUGUAUAAAGCAUAUAUAUCAAUUAAUAUGAUAAUUAAUCCAAUA